GGUUAAGCGACUAAGCGUACACGGUGGAUGCCCUGGCAGUCAGAGGCGAUGAAGGACGUGCUAAUCUGCGAUAAGCGUCGGUAAGGUGAUAUGAACCGUUAUAACCGGCGAUUUCCGAAUGGGGAAACCCAGUGUGUUUCGACACACUAUCAUUAACUGAAUCCAUAGGUUAAUGAGGCGAACCGGGGGAACUGAAACAUC
rnacentral:rRNA from 1 species